rnacentral:rRNA from 1 species
CUACGGGCCGCUGCAGUGGGGAAUAUUGCACAAUGGAGGAAACUCUGAUGCAGCAACGCCGCGUGGAGGAUGACACUGUUCGGAGCGUAAACUCCUUUUAUAUCGGAAGAAGAUGACGGUACUAUAUGAAUAAGCGCCGGCUAACUCCGUGCCAGCAGCCGCGGUAAUACGGAGGGCGCAAGCGUUACUCGGAAUCACUGGGCGUAAAGAGCGUGUAGGCGGAUUAAAAAGUCAGAAGUGAAAUCCUAUAGCUUAACUAUAGAACUGCUUCUGAAACUCUUAAUCUAGAAUAUGGGAGAGGUAGAUGGAAUUUCUGGUGUAGGGGUAAAAUCCGUAGAGAUCAGAAGGAAUACCGAUUGCGAAGGCGAUCUACUAGAACAUUAUUGACGCUGAGACGCGAAAGCGUGGGGAGCAAACAGGAUUAGAUACCCCAGUAGUC